rnacentral:ncRNA from 1 species
UGACGAACAUGGGCGAAGCCCGAAGUAGGAGAAAUGCCGCUGCUGCAGAGAGUCGGUGGAAGGUGCAAACCGAUGCAAGCAUAUUGUCCGAAUUACAGUUCUGAGUUGGUGGAGGGAACAUGCUCUAUCGAGCACUAGUAGCUUACACCCGGCAAACUAUUUGUCGUUAAUUUUCUAAGUGAAAGAGAAGUGGCAUGCUUGUAGGCGUGCAACCAAUCUCUUUAAUUAGGGUGGUACCGCGAGACAAUCUCUCGUCCCUUUG